rnacentral:rRNA from 1 species
ACGAACGCUGGCGGCAUGCCUAAUACAUGCAAGUCGAACGAGAUCUUCGGAUCUAGUGGCGCACGGGUGCGUAACGCGUGGGAAUCUGCCCUUGGGUUCGGAAUAACUUCUGGAAACGGAAGCUAAUACCGGAUGAUGACGUAAGUCCAAAGAUUUAUCGCCCAAGGAUGAGCCCGCGUAGGAUUAGCUAGUUGGUGGGGUAAAGGCCCACCAAGGCGACGAUCCUUAGCUGGUCUGAGAGGAUGAUCAGCCACACUGGGACUGAGACACGGCCCAGACUCCUACGGGAGGCAGCAGUAGGGAAUAUUGGACAAUGGGGGAAACCCUGAUCCAGCAAUGCCGCGUGAGUGAUGAAGGCCUUAGGGUUGUAAAGCUCUUUUACCCGGGAUGAUAAUGACAGUACCGGGAGAAUAAGCUCCGGCUAACUCCGUG